AGUGAACGCUGGCGGUAGGCCUAACACAUGCAAGUCGAACGGCUGCACAGUACUUGCUUCCUCUUUCGGGUGGCGAGUGGCGAGCAAUUCCUAGGAACCUCCGUGUCUGCUUUUUCUUAGGUCCUGACGUAGGCGCACUUACCCUAUUCCCCCUUACGGCGUACGGGUGAGAUCUUGGGAUCUUCCGCCCUUGCGCGAUUCUAUGUCCCGAUGUCUGGUUAGCUAGUUGGCGGGGUAAAGGCCCACCAAGGCGACGAUCCGUAGCUGGUCUGAGAGGAUGAUCAGCCACACUGGAACUGAGACACGGUCCAGACUCCUACGGGAGGCAGCAGUGGGGAAUAUUGGACAAUGGGCGAAAGCCUGAUCCAGCCAUACCGCGUGUGUGAAGAAGGUCUUCGGAUUGUAAAGCACUUUUGGUGGGAAAGAAAAGCAGUAGGUUAAUACCCUGCUGUUCUGACGGUACCAAAAGAAUAAGCACCGGCUAACUUCGUG
rnacentral:rRNA from 1 species